CCCUUAGAUGUUCUGGGCCGCACGCGCGCUACACUGAAUGGAUCAACGUGUUUUCCCUUCCCGAGAGGGACGGGUAACCCGCUGAACCCCAUUCGUGGUAGGGAUCGGAGCUUGCAAUUGUUCUCCGUGAACCAGGAAUUCCCAGUAAGCGCAAGUCAUAAGCUUGCGUUGAUUACGUCCCUGCCCUUUGUACACACCGCCCGUCGCUACUACCGAUUGAAUGGUCCGGUGAAAUCUUCGGAUCUGAGAGAUGUCUGAUUAAUUUCGGACGCCUUUUGGAAAAGUUGCUUAAACCUUACCAUUUAGAGGAAGGUGAAGUCGUAACA
rnacentral:rRNA from 1 species